UAGGGAAUCUUCCGCAAUGGGCGAAAGCCUGACGGAGCAACGCCGCGUGAGUGAUGAAGGUCUUCGGAUCGUAAAACUCUGUUAUUAGGGAAGAACAAAUGUGUAAGUAACUAUGCACGUCUUGACGGUACCUAAUCAGAAAGCCACGGCUAACUACGUGCCAGCAGCCGCAGUAAUACGUAGGUGGCAAGCGUUAUCCGGAAUUAUUGGGCGUAAAGCGCGCGUAGGCGGUUUUUUAAGUCUGAUGUGAAAGCCCACGGCUCAACCGUGGAGGGGCAUUGGAAACUGGAAAGCUUGAGUGCAGAAGAAGAAAGUGGAAUUCCAUGUGUAGCGGUGAAAUGCGCAGAGAUAAGGGGGAACACCAGUGGCGAAGGCGGCUUUCUGGUCUGUGACUGACGCUGAUGUGCGAAAGCGUGGGGAUCAAACAGG
rnacentral:rRNA from 1 species